UAGUGUUGUCAAAUCACUCAACAGGGAGAGAGAGUUGCGUAGUUCCCUGUGCAGUCUAUGAGAGUUUUAAGCUUUUUCAACAACGUAAUUCAAAGCAGAUUUCAAACACAUUGUUCGUUUGACAGAUGUUUUGAUGACUGUAUGGAUCAUGUGGAAGUUUUGCGAUUCAGAGCCGGUCUUUUCGUCACGUAUUUUUAAAAUUUAACGGUUCAGCUUGAACUCCUCGCCAAAGAACAUAAAUUAAUUGUUGUCAUGUCGGGGGCUUUUUCUGUCAGUGUUAACCAACUUGGCAGUGUGUCACCCAAAACCACUGGAUAACUCCCCAGAUGUUCAGGCCUGCAAAAUCCAAGGUGACAGUCCUGAGAAGACGCUCAGGUAAACAGCAACAUUUCAGAACUCGUCCGGAUCUACACCAAGCACACAUUUUCUAACCAAUGGGUGACAGGUUGGCAGUUGGUUCUUCACGGUCUGCUGUUUGAGGGUUUCUGGUUUGCACUUUGUGGUGAUUUGGUGAGUGUGAUUACAUGCACAGUAACAGGACAGAUCUCAGCCUCAGGUAUUCUAGUAAAGGUAUUUAACAUUAAUAUGCCAGCCUGCCUAUGAUCCCCCAGUGGCUAGAAAUGGUGAUAGAUGUAAACCGAGCCCUGGGUACCCCCCCUCUCUCUGCUUUGCCCGCACAGAGGACUUGGCCCAUUCAUGAGAGAGACUUCGUGGCUUUCAAACGAGCCAAGUGGCAGUUGGGGAAGGCCACAUCCCCCCCCCCCCUCCACCUUGCAUCAUUUGAACAAACUGAUUGUGUCUUUGGCAUUGCUUUAAUAGAAUAGAGAAUUGCAUUUUUCCACAUAUUUUGCCCAAGACACAGUAGUCAUUUUGUCUUUUUACAAACUCAUGUUAACAUCUGGAGAGCUCCAGAUUCUCCCCAAGAGGCCGCUGUUAAGUUAUAAUCAGUCCAGUUACCUACUGGCUAGUCUCGCUUUGCCAGACCCUCCUCCUAAAGCGUGCUGGAGAGUCUGGCUUCUCCACACAGCAUUCUGGGAUGGAAGGAAAACGUGAUCUGGUUUAUUGGCUUUUCUUUAAACCAAUCACAAUGGUGAGUGCUCAGCAUCAGAGAAAAGCCGCGGUGCUGCUGCAAUUCAGACUCGGAGGGAACUUGGUUUGGUGGAACAUGUGUACAUUUAGAAGUUGUUUUAGUUGUGCAACAGAAAAAAGAUUGGACAGAUAGUCUAGCUAGCUGUCUGGAUUUACCCUGCAGAGAUCUGAGGACCAGGUAACCAGAAAUCUACUGGAGUUAAAAACACCAACACAAAGGAAGCCCAAGGCAACGGAUAUCCGGCCUGAAUGAGUGGAACCCAUCAGAUUUUCCGGCGGUAAUGGAGCAAUCCCAGAAGUGGAACGUCAAGGUUAUAGACUAAAUACUGGCUAGACUUAACACCUACAGGCAACUUCCUGUACCAGUUUAGAACCGCGAGCUGUAGCUGCCGCACUUCAACACUUGUUUCACCUGCAGUCAAUGACCGUCACACCCCCAACAAGUUAUAAAGGUCAUUGCCCGCAAGUGGCACAAGUGUUAAAAUUGCAGCUAUUUCCUUCCUGGCCUGUAGGUGGCGACAUCAACUUAUCUACAUCUGCAGCUGUAAAGCUUUUCAUACCUGUUUGUGGGCAGCGUUGACCUGGCUUUACUCCACGUGUCUUCUUCAUUGUUGCUGUCAACAGCCUCUGAAUUCAUGAACACAGUUAAACAUGCAUUUCAAGUCAUACUCACAUUUCAAGCUCUGCAAUCUAUGGCUAGCUUCCAUAAGAAAACGCUGUAAGAUAAUAUUCUGUGCAUGUAAACACACCCACUGUUGUAGCCUCCAGAUACAAAACACAAGCACUUGUUAAAUCGCUAUACUCUCGUUAAAACAUUCGGUACACAGUGAAAUAAAGUUGAAUUAAAACACCUGCCUGUUACUGUUCCAACCCGCUGUCCUGUUAGCCUAACAAGUAACUCAUCCAUUGUUUCUUCUCUUAUUUCACAGUAUUUAUUUACUCUCCAGUGUGUAAAGAUGCCUUUACUGACACACUCAGUGAGUCAGUGUAACUGACUGGUUACCUGUAUGAAUGACUCGGUACGUUACACACUACAACCACAUUUAAACACAAAAGGAUUACAUUUGUUUAGCUUAACAGACGACCUGCUUAUUCCAACGCUCUCUGUAAGAAAAUGAAAAAUGUGCUUCACACACACACACACACACACACACACAGUUAAAGCGGCCAGGUUUGUUUAUGUAAAUAUGUGGUUGUGUACAUUCAGACCAGAUGUACAGUGUAUGGAAACUUUUAAAAUAGUUAGCACAUUUCCGGCUGUGUGAGCCAAUAACGGGACUCACACUCACCAACUGACGGCUGAGAUUGGGAAAUGUGGCCGCGUUGGUGUCGCAGAUGUCCAACAGGGCA